UACGAAGGGGGCUAGCGUUGCUCGGAAUUACUGGCGUAAAGGGCGCGUAGGCGGCGCUGCAAGUCAGGCGUGAAAUUCCUGGGCUUAACCUGGGGGCUGCGCUUGAGACUGUGUGCUAGAGGACGGAAGAGGGUCGUGGAAUUCCCAGUGUAGAGGUGAAAUUCGUAGAUAUGGGAAGAACACCAGUGGCGAAGGCGGCUCACUGGACCGGUAUUGACGCUGAUGUGCGAAAGCGUGGGGAGCAAACAGG
rnacentral:rRNA from 1 species